rnacentral:rRNA from 1 species
GUCUAUGGCCAUACCACCCUGAACAUGCCUGAUCUUGUCUAAUCUUGGAAGCUGAGCAGGGUCGGUCCUAGUUAGUAUUUAGAUGGGAGGUUUUUUAAUUGUUUUGUUUUUUCACUUUGGAUACCAUUUAUU